AGAGUUUGAUCCUGGCUCAGGACGAACGCUGGCGGCGUGCCUAAUACAUGCAAGUAGAACGCUGAAAUAAGAGCUUGCUCUUAUGGAUGAGUUGCGAACGGGUGAGUAACACGUGGGGAACCUACCUUCUAGCGGGGGAUAACACAUAGAAAUGUGUGCUAAUACCGCAUAAUAGUAUUUGAUGCAUAUCAGAUACUUGAAAGGCGCAAUUGCGUCACUAGAAGAUGGCCCCGCGGUGCAUUAGCUAGUUGGUGAGGUAACGGCUCACCAAGGCAAUGAUGCAUAGCCGACCUGAGAGGGUGAUCGGCCACACUGGGACUGAGACACGGCCCAGACUCCUACGGGAGGCAGCAGUAGGGAAUCUUCGGCAAUGGACGCAAGUCUGACCGAGCAACGCCGCGUGAGUGAAGAAGGUUUUCGGAUCGUAAAACUCUGUUGUAAGAGAAGAACGUUGAUGAGAGUGGAAAGUUCAUCAAGUGACGGUAUCUUACCAGAAAGCCACGGCUAACUACGUGCCAGCAGCCGCGGUAAUACGUAGGUGGCAAGCGUUGUCCGGAUUUAUUGGGCGUAAAGCGAGCGCAGGCGGUUGAUUAAGUCUGAUGUGAAAGCCCCCGGCUCAACCGGGGAGGGUCAUUGGAAACUGGUCAACUUGAGUGCAGAAGAGGAGAGUGGAAUUCCAUGUGUAGCGGUGAAAUGCGUAGAUAUAUGGAGGAACACCAGUGGCGAAGGCGGCUCUCUGGUCUGUAACUGACGCUGAGGCUCGAAAGCGUGGGGAGCGAACAGGAUUAGAUACCCUGGUAGUCCACGCCGUAAACGAUGAGUGCUAAGUGUUGGAGGGUUUCCGCCCUUCAGUGCUGCAGCUAACGCAUUAAGCACUCCGCCUGAGGAGUACGACCGCAAGGUUGAAACUCAAAGGAAUUGACGG
rnacentral:rRNA from 1 species